CGGGACGGGUGAGUAACGCGUGGGUAACCUGCCUUAUACAGGGGGAGUAACAGUCAGAAAUGGCUGCUAAUACCGCAUAAGCGCACAGAGCUGCAUGGCUCAGUGUGAAAAACUCCGGUGGUAUAAGAUGGACCCGCGUUGGAUUAGCUAGUUGGUGGGGUAACGGCCCACCAAGGCGACGAUCCAUAGCCGGCCUGAGAGGGUGAACGGCCACAUUGGGACUGAGACACGGCCCAGACUCCUACGGGAGGCAGCAUG
rnacentral:rRNA from 1 species